UGAAGCAAACUCUACACGCGAGCCAUGAUACAUUCAUUCGUCUCUCUCUCUCUCUCUUAAAAGCAGCUUAAACUCUCUUUCUCAAAGUGCCGCGGGUUAUUAUCGGGCGGCGCGUCGGACGCGCUUACCAGCGCGCCCGAUUGUGAACCCGGUUUUCACGGUAAGUCCUCAUGGACGCGGUCACGCGGCACGCGUUUGCGCCCUCGCACGAGAAUCUGCACGCACACCGGCACAACGAAUGGAUCGUAUCUGGCAGCGCCUGCUGUCUGUAUACAUGAGUCGACAGCAGCAACGUGCACGCCCGACGCGAUUAAAGCGUUACACACCGAGUGAGAUCGAUGUGGGUCGCUAUGUGAGAACCGGAAUGCGUCUAUUAUUUUCGAUAUACGUACGAUACUCUUACGAGCAGAGUAUCCUAUGAACGAACGAAGGGUCAUCGGGUUCGUUGCUGCCCCCCCUAAUACAAACUGUACAAAUGUAUCUUUCUGCAUUGAUUUAAUUACGCAAUUCCACUUAACCGCACUAAAUAACGGACUCUACAUUGUUGUACGUGCAUCGAGCAGGCUCGUAGAACUACAUAACCUGACAGAGCCAAUGAUCCUCAAUGAAGAAGGUCACGGAGGCAAGAAAGUGCGACUCCCCGAUUCUCCGGUUCAAACUGUCGUAUUCGACCAGAGCCGCAGAGCGCGUAAGCCUGUGAUUAUCCGAGGAAGGUAAAUCCGAGCGGAUGGAGACGCGCGAGAGAAAGAGAAAAAGAUCGACCUGCAAAACGAAUGGAAGUUAAUGCCCGCGAUCUCUUAUGAAUCGCAUGCGAAUAUUCGUGUAGUAUCUCUAUCCACCCUGGGAAGCCGCGCGCCGACGACCUCCGUGGAAGUCCACUCUCUCGAGCCGUGCCGUUCCGAGUUCCAGCGGAUCGGCAUGUUCACAGGAUGUUCACCGAGGCGAACAUAUCGCGGCGUUCGCGACGCGGACAUUUGUUCUUGGGCGCCCGAACUUAUCUCGCCUUCGCACGGCACUGGACCGUCGGGACGAGUCGUGGGGCGCACUUUGCCUUGUGUGCGCCAGCCAUCAAUGACAAGGACGGACAGAGACCUCGUAGGAGAAAGACAAAGACGCAGAAAGUAGAGACUCGAGCAGUGGGGAUGGCCAGUGCUGAUGUGGAGGGGCAAGGAGCGACGCUAUUGGCUGAUGCCGUGGGUGGAGGGGGUAAUAACGGGAAUGUGGUGGGGAUGAGUCUACGUACGCGACAGACAAGCGGACCUAACUGGUCGGGCGACCGUAGCAUCAGGUUCAAGUUGUGCACUCUCUCUCGAUCCCCGGUAGUCGAGCCUCCGUACUCCAGAGGUACGGCUCGUCGCCCGGACGCAGUCCGGUUGGUGGUCGCAAACUCUCUGGUUCCUUCCGAUUCGCGUGCACAAUCCCGACAGUACCACCGUCACGAGGACACUGCCGUAUCGACCGUGCAGAGGAAACGCGUGACCGCUCUACGUCGGACUCUCUCGUUUUCGCCCUGCUCAACCGAAGGCCGUUCAUAUAUGCGGGAGGGGAACACAUACACACACCCUCUUCGGCCCUCAGACUCUUCCUACCGUAGCUCCCUCAAUAACGGUCUCUGCCGUGUGAAGACCACGUUCUGCCCUAUGACCUCCGAGGUCGAACCCCUCUGACAUGGACUGACUUCUAUUGUCAACGGCUCGACCUGCACCUAGUGGGAUCGCGCGGACGUUUGCUGUGGUGAUUUGUGAUAGAGGAGGCAGCCAUACUUUUGGAUUUCGUGUGAUCAGUGCAUGCCGUUCUGUGACGUGGGAUGCGUGUGGAUCCGUGUGUAUUACUGACGAUGGGAACGUAGCACGUGGAACAAUGGAAAUGCCAUACUUUCCGAGAAACACGUCUUUAAACGUGCAGUUAUGAAAAUUUCGAAAAACAGGAAACAGCCGUUAAAGAAGAACCUCAGUCUCGUUUCCGCUCUGCUUAAUUCUCCAAAUUACACAAAUUGUUUAUAUCCCAAGUAAAUUGAAACGUCAAAAUAUAAUAAAUCACAAGUUAUUAAGGACUACCGUAGACGAGUCUUUAACUAAUGAAGAGAGUCACGUAAUAUCCUCUGGUACGUGAAUCAUAAAUGUAAUUAAAAAAAGAAGUAAUAAGAAUAAAAUGCACGAGUCGAUGCACAAGAAUAAAAAUGGCGAAGGAAGCACGAAGGGAACCUGUCUGCUCAUGGGCGCGUAUGGAGACCGAGGGGAAAGCGCGGCUCUAGACCUUGCAAUGCCAUUCGAUCGGGCAACGUUCUCGCGUGGUGCAGCGCGCGACCACACGGCACGGUGUGAGUGUGACGGCAACACAGCCUUCCCCGUACCCACGCGCCAAUAGGGUCGCACACUCAUUAGCCCAGUGGCGCAAGUCCCUCCCCACCACGAGGCUCGAUCAGCUGCUCGGCCACGCGGCGUUGCCUCGUCUCGCUCGCGCGCCGGCAUCCAGUGCCAAAGCCCACGCGGGGUUCUGUGUACUCCUGAUGCGUCAAGUCACUGGUGGCGCAGGGUCGGCCCAACUUGGCCCGGCGCCCUGUACGUUUUAUCAUCGGUAAAGAAGAGGUCUUCUCGCCUCCCCGUAAAACGAAAAGUGCGAAAUUUAUUAAUACGCAAAUGUAAGAUCCAAACGGUAACAGCUGUGAAAAUUAUUUUUCUUAUUUUUAUCAUUCCUGAUGUACGCUCCUCGUAUCCCUAACGUUGCGGCUUACACUCUCGAAAAGACCUCCAGAAUGUAUUACCAUGCAGGGCUCUCAAUGUACGCGCUAUGAAAAUAUCUAUUGUGAAGUUAUGGCAUAUCAUAGCACGGACCGGUGCUCGGGUCAACAAGCGCGUGCCAACGGUCUACGUGGCACAAUGGGGAAAGUCAAUAGUCGGGGAGACACAUGCUGCCCGUGUGUUGGACCUUUUGGCGUUUACUCUUCUAGAGAAUUUCUAGUAUUACAAAAAGGUACGGAAAAUAAUUGCGCGUAAGGAUGAAGAGACGAAUUCCGAUUCAGAGAGAAAGAGAGUCUUCUCAGUGUCUAGAAAAAUAGUUCAGAUAGAUAUAACGCAGUUCGUACAGGUGGAGCUGUGUCCUUAGUAGUUUAGGAAUCAAAGCACCCGGCGGCGCCACUUAAGUGAUACACAAUGGCUCCCGGCACACGUUGUGCCCUUUCUAGCUGUGCGCCCUGUGAUUGUCAGUUUACACGAAACCCGUAGAGCGUCUGUGGACGCGGCGUAAGUGCGACCGGCCCAUGUAUAAUGGGAGUCAAUUCGUGCACCCGGUAUAAGGUAUAUCGGAAGAUCACGGGAGUCGAGUUUAUGCCGCACGAGGGCGUUGUUAUCGGAGACCUCUUUUUAUUCACCGCCAUCUUUCAUUAGGUACACGUGUACUAUCCUGUGUAUAGAUCCAAUAGGGAAAGCCACGGCUCUCGUCGAAUCUCGGCCAUUUUCCACUCUCCGUAGAAUGCACUCUGCAACUGGUAUGUUUACAGAGCAUGAAAUCCCUAGAACCAGUGAGAUCUGUAUUACAACAAAUCCAGACUAGAAAAACUGUUUGGAUCGGAUCCUAAAGUUUUCCUAAUGUUUAUUUAAUCCACUAAAUUCUUUCUUUUUUUUUAACCAGGCACACAAUACAUCGCGUUUGCGCGUGCCAUCACGUGACAGCUUAUCGAGCCAUCCCUGUCAUCCGGUUUACUUCACGUCACGCGUAUAUGCAGCCAGUUUCAAGUAUUAUAAUAGAGUACGAUCUGACAUGACCUGAUAUCAGGAAUCUAAUCGGAGUAACCAUCAAGCAUAUACGUACACGUUCGUUCAGAUAGUAUCCAUUCGACCACAAGCCGAUCCAAUUAGUAAUGUCAAACCCUUUGAACAUUUCAAUUUGAAAGGACAGCCAUCAGGCAACCUCUCACGUUUUAAUUCCAAAUCGCUGUGCUGAAGUUUUGCGCGCGAUUAAUGACGCCGCCUCUCUACUCCGUGAAUAAAUGCAUAUAAUCGUCGUAUAAUAGUCUUUUGCCUUUCGCCCAUAGAAAACGAUAGCCGUUUGCGCAUGCGCCAAGACUUUUGAAUAUCUCCCGCGCUCCUCGCCCACCAUCAACGUACCGCAACCAGUCACCCCCCGCUGCUGCUUAUACGAACGACCCGUUGAAUCGCUGAAACCCUGACGGCUGAAACCACGCCGGUCUAACGGAACACAGACGGACUCUCGAACGUGCAAUCGAUAUUCCACGGCGAUUAAGUCUAUUGCAUAAUACAAAAGUUUAUGGCUGGUGG